rnacentral:rRNA from 1 species
CCUACGGGGGGCUGCAGUGGGGAAUAUUGGACAAUGGGGGGAACCCUGAUCCAGCCAUGCCGCGUGUGUGUAGAAGGCCCUCGGGUUGUAAAGCACUUUCAGUGAGGAAGAACGCCUGGUGGUUAAUACCCAUCAGGAAAGACAUCACUCACAGAAGAAGCACCGGCUAACUCCGUGCCAGCAGCCGCGGUAAUACGGAGGGUGCGAGCGUUAAUCGGAAUUACUGGGCGUAAAGCGCGCGUAGGUGGCUUGAUAAGCCGGUUGUGAAAGCCCCGGGCUCAACCUGGGAACGGCAUCCGGAACUGUCAAGCUAGAGUGCAGGAGAGGAAGGUAGAAUUCCCGGUGUAGCGGUGAAAUGCGUAGAGAUCGGGAGGAAUACCAGUGGCGAAGGCGGCCUUCUGGACUGACACUGACACUGAGGUGCGAAAGCGUGGGUAGCAAACAGGAUUAGAUACCCCAGUAGUC